UAACCUGCCCAAGAGAUCGGGAUAACACCUGGAAACAGAUGCUAAUACCGGAUAACAAUAGAUGAUGCCUAUCAACUGUUUAAAAGAUGGUUCUGCUAUCACUCUUGGAUGGACCUGCGGUGCAUUAGCUAGUUGGUAGGGUAACGGCCUACCAAGGCGAUGAUGCAUAGCCGAGUUGAGAGACUGAUCGGCCACAUUGGGACUGAGACACGGCCCAAACUCCUACGGGAGGCAGCAGGC
rnacentral:rRNA from 1 species